rnacentral:rRNA from 2 species
CGGCGUGCCUAAUACAUGCAAGUCGAACGAGUUCUCGUUGAUGAUCGGUGCUUGCACCGAGAUUCAACAUGGAACGAGUGGCGGACGGGUGAGUAACACGUGGGUAACCUGCCCUUAAGUGGGGGAUAACAUUUGGAAACAGAUGCUAAUACCGCAUAGAUCCAAGAACCGCAUGGUUCUUGGCUGAAAGAUGGCGUAAGCUAUCGCUUUUGGAUGGACCCGCGGCGUAUUAGCUAGUUGGUGAGGUAAUGGCUCACCAAGGCGAUGAUACGUAGCCGAACUGAGAGGUUGAUCGGCCACAUUGGGACUGAGACACGGCCCAAACUCCUACGGGAGGCAGCAGUAGGGAAUCUUCCACAAUGGACGCAAGUCUGAUGGAGCAACGCCGCGUGAGUGAAGAAGGCUUUCGGGUCGUAAAACUCUGUUGUUGGAGAAGAAUGGUCGGCAGAGUAACUGUUGUCGGCGUGACGGUAUCCAACCAGAAAGCCACGGCUAACUACGUGCCAGCAGCCGCGGUAAUACGUAGGUGGCAAGCGUUAUCCGGAUUUAUUGGGC